AAGGGUAUAGCUCAGUGGUAGAGUGCUUGCUUAGCAUGCAUGAGGUCCUGGGUUCAAUCCUCAGUACCUCCA
rnacentral:tRNA from 1 species